rnacentral:lncRNA from 1 species
GUGUUCCAUUGAAAAUGCUCUAACUGUAUUUAACGUAACGAAGAAUCGAACUUACAACUAUCACUAUUCCAUAUAGCAAAAUAGCAUAGAUCAUGAAUUAAAAUUCAACACAUAUGUAUUGUCAUGUUACCCAAUUGGCAACCUAAACGUACAUAAAAUGAACUCUAUCAACUAAGCAUUAGACCCUACACGGAAAUGUAAACCCUAAUC